GAAAGCUUGUCUUCUGUAGAUGACUUUUGGAUAUGAAUUUGUUCAUUCACCUCUAAGCAUUACACAUUGCCUGUACUUGUCCACUGAAUUCAUGGUGGAGAGAAGGAAGUGAGGGAGGGAAUGCUUCAGGCCAAAAUGGUCAUAUUUAGAAGAUACCUCAGAUUAUAACCAUUGUUACACGUGUGCAAUUUUAUUUAACAGUGCUGUGUACUUAGUGAACAAGUAAGUUCUUAUAUGAAAUAUCUAGUCUUGCUGGGUAUUUAGAAGUGCUUGAUGUAUUUAAAAGUAGUAGUAGUAAAAUAAUGCUUCUUGUAAAUAGCUUUUAAAAACAUGGGAAAUGCUGUCUUUGGAAAUGGAAUUGUUAAACCUCCUCUGACCAGUAUACUCUGCUCAUUCAUUGGGUUGAUGGAAGUGGGAGGGAAGAUUGCAAAAACAUGUUUUGCUAGUGUGUACUAAAAAAUUUCACCUUAUUGGUUGCUCUAUGUUACAUGCAUUUUGUUUAACUUUACUGUAUAUAUUAUGUAUAUACUGGACAAAUGGGUUCCAAUUUUAUAAUAUCUAGUCUCUAGAUAUUAAAAAGAGGUUGCCAAUGUAUGACAAAAGUAGAGUUAGUAAACUAACACAUUUUGUACACUUGUGUUAAAUUCCAUUGAAAGGCUGUCUUCUGAAAAGGACCUUUGGAAAUAAAAUUGUAAAUCACAUCUAAGUGACACAUGUGCCUGAACUCAGCCACUGUUGGAUGGACAGUGGGAAGGAAGAGUUAGGAGCAAUGAAGCAUUCUAAUAAGCUAGAAUGUUUCUGUGUAGAAGACACUUUCAUAUAUAACCAUUUUUACAUGUGUGUGGUUUAUUCAACACUACUGUGUAUAUAUAGUGGACAAACUUAAGUCCUUAUUUGAAACAUCUAGUCUUUCUAGAUGUUUAGAAGUGCACAAAGUAUGUUAAAAGUAGAGAAGUAGUAAAAUAAUUCCUUUAUAAAUGCCCUUUUGUGGGUUUUUAGGAAGGGCUAUGACUUCUGGGAGUGUCUAUGUUAAUCCACCUUUUGUAGCUAGAUGUAGUCCUGUAGUUAGUCACUGAAAUGCUGGAAGAGGGUUAAGAGGAAGGGUGAAGGGAAGGGCUCUUGGCUAUUAUCUCCAUAUCUAGACAGUUUUAGUUUAUAACCAUAGGUCUAUAUGUGCAUUUUUGUAAAGUUUCUGUUUAUUGUGGACAAGGUUCAUUCUUUAUCUUGCAACAUCUAUGUCCCAGGAUAACAUAUGAUAAAAAGUAGAGUUAGUGAGUUAACCAAUUUGUAAAUAAAUAUCUUUGUUACAAUGAUAUAAAACAGCAUCUUGGACAUGAAUUGUUAAAGUCUCAGAAAUGUAUGUCAGGACUUGUUCACUAGGUUGGCAGCAGAGGGGCAGAAGGAAAGUAUAAAGGGAGGGUUGUAUGCGAAUGUGUUCAUAUUUAUAUUUUGGUGAUAACCAUUGAUGUGGGUGCAUCUUUUGGCUGUAAUAUAAGCAAUUCAGUGGAAACAUACCUCCUUGCUAAUAUUUUAAUAGUUUGGAUAAUUAGUCCUCUUAGAGGCAUUAUACUUUAUGUACUCUGUUGCUUUAUGUGUCAUUUUUAAUUGAACAUAAGGGAAUGUAGUAUUUUAAUCAUAACUCUACCAAUAUCUUUAUCUUGAAGCCUGUUGCUAUUUUUGUCUUUUAUGUAAUUUUAUCGCUAAGAAAGGCAGGAUUACAUUUUUUUUCCUUCCAGAUCGAGUUGGUGUAGUAUAUUCUUGGUUAUCAAAAUAAAAUACUCAUAUAGCUUUGGGACUUUGAAAUGGUAAAUAUUCAUGAUGUGUGAAAAAGCAUGAUACAUAACUAUGAUCUUAAUUACAUAAAAAUGGAUGCUUCAUUGUGUAGAUACACAAACGAAAUCUAGAAGGACAUAUCAACCUGUAAACUGCUUGAUUAUGGAUGACUUUGUUUUUUGCUUCCUAUUUGCUUGUGUUUUUCAGUUUCCUAUUAUGCACAUGUUAACUUUUAAGAAAUAAAUUUUACUUAAAAAAGC
rnacentral:lncRNA from 1 species